GACGAACGCUGGCGGCAGGCCUAACACAUGCAAGUCGAACGCUCCGCAAGGGGAGUGGCAGACGGGUGAGUAACGCGUGGGAAUUUUCCUAUCGGUACGGAAUAGCUCAGGGAAACUUGGGGUAAUACCGCAUACGCCCUUCGGGGGAAAGAUUCAUCGCCGAUAGAUGAGCCCGCGUCUGAUUAGCUAGUUGGUGAGGUAAUGGCUCACCAAGGCGACGAUCAGUAGCUGGUCUGAGAGGAUGACCAGCCACACUGGGACUGAGACACGGCCCAGACUCCUACGGGAGGCAGCAGUGGGGAAUAUUGGACAAUGGGCGCAAGCCUGAUCCAGCCAUGCCGCGUGAGUGACGAAGGUCUUCGGAUUGUAAAGCUCUUUUGGCGGGGACGAUAAUGACGGUACCCGCAGAAUAAGCCCCGGCUAACUUCGUGCCAGCCGCCGCGGUAACAC
rnacentral:rRNA from 1 species